UACGUCCUAGAUACUUCAGGUGAUGUCAAGUGGCACUAGGCACCAAGCUGUACACAGUCAAAGCAAGCCUUAGAAGUUUAAGUCUGAUCACAGCAUCAGACCUGUCUGGAUCAAUUGACAGAUAAUCAGCAUCAAGAUUGCAAUUUGUCUUCCCAAAUGUUCAGCCUACAAAUCUACUUUAAGAUGAGGUAUAUGGCAGUGCAAACCACAAUGGAUUCACUGACUUUGCAUUCCCUGACUAAGAUGAAAUCUUGGGUCACAAUGGAGACACAGAUGAGGUUUCAUAUAAUCUUUGGGUACAAAAAUUACGUGGCACCAGUUUAAAGUGCUUUUGGAACACACCUAACCUGAAAGUGCCUGAUAUAAUCUAAGUGAAAAAUGAUAAAUUGAACAACAUCAAUGUGAAACAGACUAUUAUUAAACUAUUAGAAAGCUGAA